ensembl:misc_RNA Y_RNA Y RNA
GGCUGGUCCAAGUUCAGUGGUGUUUACAAAUAAUUGAUCACAACCAGUUACAGAUUCCUUUGUUCCUUUUCCACUCCCGCUACAUCCGUUCACUGGCCUUAA